rnacentral:lncRNA from 1 species
AAAUUGAUGGUCCAUCCAGUUAAUAGAGUUUCAGAAAUUGCAAAUGCUGUUUCAUGAAACGGUUACUCUGUUCCAUAAGAAAAACCUUACAGAAUCUAUCUUUAUCCCAUCUCUCUAGCUCUCAACAUUUCUAAAACUCUUAGAAAUCAUUUAAAAAUUCAUCCUAAAUGUUCUAACCAUCUAAAACACAGCAUAGAUGACAAGAAUUAAUAUUUAUUAUUACUUUGGUCUUGCUUACAAAUUUCUGUAUCUAUGCUAUGCUACGCUACGAUCCAGUGAGAUUUCAGGGUUCACAGCCCCUAUGCCCUCAAGUACCCUAACAGGAAAGAUUCUGAGGGCUCCAGAACUGUGGACUUGGUCCAGGGCAGAACAACAGUCAGGUCAUCAGCCAGCAAAGUUAUGGGACUCUCAUGAAGUUGAAAAUCUGACCAAAAUACAAGGUACUGAAAUCUAGUGCAUUCAAAUGAGAGAGAAGAAUCAAGGAUGAAUUUCACAUGUGGAGCAAGAGACACAAGGGGAAGAAAGAUGUCCUUUGCUGAAAUGGGGAACUGGGCGAGCAAGCGUGGCAAGGGAUCAGUAUAGAGCACAAAAAUGUUCAGAUUUAGACCUGUUAAGUUUGGAAAUCCUUGUAAGUCAUCCAAGUGGAGAUCUCAAGUAGACCAUGAGAUCUAAGUUGUGAAGCUUAGAAGUGGAGCCUGGGCUGGAAAUAUAAAUUUGAAAGUUUCAGCAUAUUGUGGCAAUCAUGAGAAGAGAUAAAUUUGGGUCAUGGAUUUGAAUGGGAUCACCUACGGAAGGAUUGUAAAGUGGGACACAAGAGCACCUAAGACUCCUGUCAGAGGGCUGUGGAAGUCCAGCAUUAAAGCUGGGUAAAGGAGUGCUAAGUCAGGACAGGAGACUGAGAAAGAAUGGCCACUGAAAUAAAAGGAAAACUGAGGGUAUAUGGGUAUAUGGCAUGAAAUCCAAAAAAGACAGAAAGUGGUCAACUGUGUCAAAUGCUACUGAGAUAGAGUAGGAUAAGGGCUGAAAAGAACACCCUGGAUUGGCACCAUGAAAGUCACUGGUGACCCUAUCAAGAACAGCUUAAAUGGAAUAAUAGGAUGGAAAUUAUAGUAAGUUGAAGAGUAAAGGGGAGUCAGUUCUGGCCAUGAUAGAGAAUCUUGUCCUUGAUUAAUGAAACACAUACAAAACAUAUGCUUUGGAUAACAUAUACAAAACAACUGCUUGAUACUGGAGAGAAAGCAAUACAGGUGCUAUAACCCUUGAGAGAAACAAAACAUACAAGGCGAGCUCCACAUUUCCCCUUGCUUUUUUCUCUAAAGCAUUUUUUCCCACAUUCAACCCUGUGAAAAUUGGGUCCAAGUAGAAAGUAUUGCAGGGAUGAGGAGACAGAUAUUGGUGGUCAGGGCCCAGGCUUAUGAAGCAAAUUUCUGGAGACUGAGUCAA